rnacentral:lncRNA from 1 species
AAAAACUUCAGAAACCUCAGUAUUUUAGGUGUCCAAAAGAACCUACACAUACCUACCGCAUUCUAGUUGAGGAUAAUCUCAAAAAAAAAACAAGAAUGACAGCAAUAAAAUCCAGCCAUUACCUUGAAAUGAAGUAAUUCUCUUCUUGAUGAUUAUCAUAUUAUCCUAUUUAUUUUUCCAUUGUCAGAAUACAGUGUGUGAGAAUAAAUUCACAAGGUUUAUUAAUACCCAGGAGCCUAGAAUCUCCCCUACUACAACACAAUAAGAAAACUAAACCUUCAAAAUAAAAUGGAAGAAUUUAAUGCAUCCCACUCAAAUAUUCACACACUACUUAUGUGAACCUAGAAAUGUGCCAUGGUUUGUACUUUGGAUAUCCUAGUUCGACUUUUUCUAUCCAGCUCAAGUAUUUGCACUCAAGCAUAAUGAUUUAUUUCGUGCUCUAACAUGACAAAUUUGAAGUUGAUAGCAUUUCCACAUUUCUCCAUUGUUAGAACUUUAAUGGUGUUUUUCCCUGAUAAAACAAAAAAAAAAAAAAAAAAUGUUUUAUUAUCCUAUUUAUUUUUUCAUUGUCAGAAUACAGUGUGUGAGAAUAAAUUCACAAGGUUUUAAGGAGUAUCCUAGAAAACUGAAUUUGAU